rnacentral:rRNA from 1 species
GGCGGCGUGCUUAACACAUGCAAGUCGAGCGAGGGGCUUCGGCUCCUAGCGGCGAACGGGUGAGUAACACGUGGGCAACCUGCCUCGAGCUCUGGAAUAACCUCGGGAAACCGGGGCUAAUGCCGGAUAUGACACUACCGGGCAUCUGGUGGUGUGGAAAGAUUUAUCGGCUCGAGAUGGGCCCGCGGCCUAUCAGCUUGUUGGUGGGGUGAUGGCCUACCAAGGCGACGACGGGUAGCCGGCCUGAGAGGGCGACCGGCCACACUGGGACUGAGACACGGCCCAGACUCCUACGGGAGGCAGCAGUGGGGAAUAUUGCGCAAUGGGCGGAAGCCUGACGCAGCGACGCCGCGUGGGGGAUGACGGCC